rnacentral:lncRNA from 13 species
AUGAAUGGGGUUGUGGUUUAUAUGAAUGGGGUUGUGGUUUAUAUGAAUGGGGUUGUGGUUUAUAUGAAUGGGGUUGUGGUUUAUAUGAAUGGGGUUGUGGUUUACCUGAAUGGAGUUGUGGUUUAUAUGAAUGGGGUUGUGGUUUAUGUGAAUGGGGGUUGUGGUUUAUUUGAAUGGGGUUGUGGUUUUACUGAAUGGGGUUGUGGUUUACCUGAAUGGAGUUGUGGUUUAUAUGAAUGGGGUUGUGGUUUAUAUGAAUGGGGUUGUGGUUUUACUGAAUGGGGUUGUGGUUUUACUGAAUGGGGUUGUGGUUUACCCGAAUGGGCGCAGCAUGUAGCUUCAAUUAGCCUAGCUAGCUAUACUGUGUAGCUAGCUUCUCUAGGCUACUCCAGUCAAGACAGGCACUGUUAUAUGGGAUGAUAAAUAACGUUGUGGCUGCUACAAGUCUUGGCUGUCGCCGAGUUGCCUUGGCUACAGCGUCUCCCUCUCUCUCCCUCCAUCUGCACGCUCCCAUCUCACAAACCCCGGCCCCUCCGCAGCUGCAGCAAUAGAGAGCAAGCCUCUCUCCCUAGUGCAGCAGUGCUCAGAUUUGAUGUGUGCAUAAAUGUGAGAAGUAAGUAUAUGCGACCAGGUGUUGAAUGUGCCCAGGAGACAGCCACCUUAGGGCCAGGGCCAGCUCCGUCAUGACUCCAAUGGUCGGCCAAUCCAAGCAGAUUAUUCAUGAUGACAAUAUAAAUAUGUACAACAAAAAAAUAACAACUUAAAAGCAUUCCCAUCUUCAGAGGUGGACUAACACAAAGAAAGCUCUCAGAGAAGUUUCCGACCUCCUCUCUCUCCCGGACUGACAAUCAUCUUCAUUGGCAGCACCUGUGUGCAAAUAAAAGCUUGGCUCAGCAGAUAGACCAUUUUAGUGCUGCCACCUGGGGAUGGAGUGUGGAAGUGUAUCAUGGUAGUGUGUUUGUCUAUAACACCAACCUUCCCCCCCAUAUCAUAACAAGGGCCUGUAGAGAUUCAGAAAGCCCUUGCCCAAUAUCCUCUUCUCCCAGUUAGUCAGAAAGCCCUUGCCCAAGAUCCUCUUCUCCCAGUUAGUCAGAAAGCCCUUGCCCAAUAUCCUCUUCUCCCAGUUAGUCAGCCACUCCCGUCUGUCCUGUAAAAACAUGGAGCCCAGGUUGGUGAUGACUUGGAUCUUCAGAAUGAUGUGAUGCUGUCACUGAGACGUCAACUGAUCCUGAUGGCAGAAACAGACCCUCAACAGACUUCACAGAGUCACGAGGUGUCACUCCUCCCCAUCUCGUCCCAUCAGCCACUGGGGUGCCCGUUUUCCCCUGGGCUGCCAUGCUCUGUGUCCAAAGGGGCUGUCUUUGUUGUCUUCUUUCAUCUGACAGGGGUACCUGCCACCUCGCCUGAAGCAGCCAGACCCCAUCCUGUGAGUUAUGGGGCCCUGUGAGUUAUGCCCCUCCCCCCACCUGGCGUGAAAUGUGCAGAACAAACUGGUGGGGGAUUACACAGGGAUUGGACACACUGACUCUGACUGGCCCUGGAGAUCCAAGGAUAUAAGAGUCCCCCCACAACCCCUCGUAAAGACCCUCUGUCCAGAUAGGUGUGAAAGAGGUUACCAGCCCAUCUGUUUCCUCAACAUGAUCUUCCUCCCUUUGAGGUGACAACCUGGGAUCAUCCUCUGCUUUCUCUCCUUUAACUGGGUGUGUUCCGACGGUCUGAUCUUCUCCACCAGGACAUUGACUGAAUUGACCAUUUCCCAGAAGCGGUGGAGAACCCAAUGGGGAAGAUCCAUCGUGUUCACAUUAAAGGCAAAGGAAAAUGUCAAUCAAUCAUGCAUAUUGUAGAGAGAGGAGAGAAAUGUGUUAAAGGCUUCUGAAGUUAUUGGAAAGGAAAGAAGAAAGGUUUUCUAUAAACACCAAGAAUGUGGUGCAUUUCAACAUCAGUUAGCAUCAUCAGCAGGCAGAGCAGAAACACGAUAGCAUGAAAAGGCUCUUUUGAUCUUUAGCGUUUUCCCCUCAGUUUCUGAUUUCUCUUUUCUAUGUUCAGAAUGUUAAAAGGUACACUGGCUUAUUCUGACAUGCCGUGUUUAGUACAGGGAACAGGGUUGAAAUGUUUGAUGAAAUCUUCUCUUUUUUCAUCAUGUUGUUCUGUGGCUCAACAGAUUUGUCACACGUUGCAUGUGUUUUAGGCAGUAGAGGCAUAAAACUGAAAUAUCUCCCAUUCAGCUUCAUCAGAUCCCAUAGCUCUGAGACGAAUGUAAUGGUUUUUGUUGCUCCCAGUCUGUGGAUGUUAGGGAUAUCAGUCUAAAGCUUGUUAGUCCCAGUGUUAUUACUGGGGCUGGGUUGAAAAGNNNNNNNNNNACACAAACCAGUGCGCCUGGCAUCUACUACCAUACCCCGUUCAAAGGCACUUAAAUCUUUUGUCUUGCCCAUUCACCCUCUGAAUGGCACACAAUCCAUGUGUCAAUUGUCUCAAGACUUCCCUUCACUUACACGCAUUGAAGUGGAUUUAACAAUUGACGUCAAUAAGGGAUCAUAGCUUUCACCUGGAUUCACCUGGUCAGUCUGUGUCAUGGAAAGAGCAGGUGUUCUUAAUGUUUUGUACACUCAGUGUAGUCUUUCAAAUGUAAGAUCAGAAUAAGGGGAAUNNNNNNNNNNUAUUGUAGAGAGAGGAGAGAAAUGUGUUAAAGGCUUCUGAAGUUAUUGGAAAGGAAAGAAGAAAGGUUUUCUAUAAACACCAAGAAUGUGGUGCAUUUCAACAUCAGUUAGCAUCAUCAGCAGGCAGAGCAGAAACACGAUAGCAUGAAAAGGCUCUUUUGAUCUUUAGCGUUUUCCCCUCAGUUUCUGAUUUCUCUUUUCUAUGUUCAGAAUGUUAAAAGGUACACUGGCUUAUUCUGACAUGCCGUGUUUAGUACAGGGAACAGGGUUGAAAUGUUUGAUGAAAUCUUCUCUUUUUUCAUCAUGUUGUUCUGUGGCUCAACAGAUUUGUCACACGUUGCAUGUGUUUUAGGCAGUAGAGGCAUAAAACUGAAAUAUCUCCCAUUCAGCUUCAUCAGAUCCCAUAGCUCUGAGACGAAUGUAAUGGUUUUUGUUGCUCCCAGUCUGUGGAUGUUAGGGAUAUCAGUCUAAAGCUUGUUAGUCCCAGUGUUAUUACUGG